AGCGAGGUAGAGCAGCUGGUUAGCUCGCUAGGCUCAUAACCUAGAGGUCGGGAGUUCGAGUCUCCCCUUCGCCA
rnacentral:tRNA from 5 species